rnacentral:ncRNA from 1 species
ACGGGGGUGCUGACUGCGCAUUGCGUACGGAAGCUGAGACGGAAUGGUUCCGAACCCUUAAACCUGAUACGGAUAAUGCCGGCGGAGGGAGUUUGUUAUUUAU